ACUUUAUUUGAUUUCCUUCGGGACUGAUUAUUUUGUGACUGAGUGGCGGACGGGUGAGUAACGCGUGGGUAACCUGCCUUGUACAGGGGGAUAACAGUUGGAAACGGCUGCUAAUACCGCAUAAGCGCACGGUUCCGCAUGGAACAGUGUGAAAAACUCCGGUGGUAUAAGAUGGACCCGCGUUGGAUUAGCUAGUUGGUGAGGUAACGGCCCACCAAGGCGACGAUCCAUAGCCGACCUGAGAGGGUGAUCGGCCACAUUGGGACUGAGACACGGCCCAAACUCC
rnacentral:rRNA from 1 species